CACGUAGGGUGCGAGCGUUGUCCGGAAUUAUUGGGCGUGAAGAGCUCGUAGGCGGUCCGUCACGUCGGAUGUGAAAUUCCAGGGCUCAACCCUGGACCUGCAUUCGAUACGGGCGGACUAGAGUUCGGUAGGGGAGACUGGAAUUCCUGGUGUAGCGGUGAAAUGCGCAGAUAUCAGGAGGAACACCAAUAGCGAAGGCAGCUUGCUGGGACGGUACUGACGCUAAGGCGCGAAAGCGUGGGGAGCGAACAGG
rnacentral:rRNA from 1 species